AUGUCGUUUUGCACUUGAUCGAAGAAAUUUUUAAACCUUUCCCAAGCUUCAUAUAAAGACUUAUCAUCCAUUUGGUAAAAAGUAGCAAUUUCAUUUCUCAAUUU